rnacentral:rRNA from 1 species
AUGCACGCUGGCGGCGUGCCUAAUCCCUGCAAGUCGCGCGAACAGACGAGGAGCUUGCUCCUCUGACGUUCGCGGCGGACGGGUGAGUAACACGUGGAUAACCUACCUAUAAGACUGGGAUAACUUCGGGAAACCGGAGCUAAUACCGGAUAAUAUAUUGAACCGCAUGGUUCAAUAGUGAAAGACGGUUUUGCUGUCACUUAUAGAUGGAUCCGCGCCGCAGUAGCUAGUUGGUAAGGUAACGGCUUACCAAGGCAACGAUGCGUAGCCGACCUGAGAGGGUGAUCGGCCACACUGGAACUGAGACACGGUCCAGACUCCUACGGGAGGCAGCAGUAGGGAAUCUUCCGCAAUGGGCGAAAGCCUGACGGAGCAACGCCGCGUGAGUGAUGAAGGUCUUCGGAUCGUAAAACUCUGUUAUUAGGGAAGAACAAAUGUGUAAGUAACUAUGCACGUCUUGACGGUACCUAAUCAGAAAGCCACGGCUAACUACGUG